CCCCUAUCAGGGGCACUCCUGGAGAGUUUCCAGUACUCUACCAGUCUCGACUACUGGAGGGAGAGUCAAGCAGAGGCCUACCCUUUCCAUUCCUAGCUUGGGCAGUAGCUAGUGAGUGGAAGGCAAUCUGCUACAAAA
rnacentral:snoRNA from 1 species